rnacentral:rRNA from 1 species
UGGGGAAUCUUGGACAAUGGGGGCAACCCUGAUCCAGCCAUGCCGCGUGAGUGAUGAAGGCCUUAGGGUCGUAAAGCUCUUUCGCCUGUGAAGAUAAUGACGGUAGCAGGUAAAGAAACCCCGGCUAACUCCGUGCCAGCAGCCGCGGUAAUACGGAGGGGGUUAGCGUUGUUCGGAAUUACUGGGCGUAAAGCGCACGUAGGCGGACCAGAAAGUUGGGGGUGAAAUCCCGGGGGCUCAACCCCGGAACUGCCUCCAAAACUAUCGGUCUAGAGUUCGAGAGAGGUGAGUGGAAUUCCGAGUGUAGAGGUGAAAUUCGUAGAUAUUCGGAGGAACACCAGUGGCGAAGGCGGCUCACUGGCUCGAUACUGACGCUGAGGUGCGAAAGUGUGGGGGAGCAAACAGGAUUAGAUACCCUGGUAGUCCACACCGUAAACGAUGAAUGCCAGUCGUCGGAUAGCAUGCUAUUCGGUGACACACCUAACGGAUUAAGCAUUCCGCCUGGGGAGUACGGUCGCAAGAUUAAAACUCAAAUGAAUU